AAACAACAGAAAGCGGUCCGGGGAGUUGGGUGGAUGGAUGUGCGAUGCACUCACCGCGGCGGACACAUGGAUGACAGGCAUCAUCCUGGGUGUUUCUGAUCAUCAUCACCGUGGUUCUCCUCAGCGCGCCGGAGGAGGAGGGCAGCUGAUCGGGGCUCUGGGUCUGGGCUGCACUGUCUGGUGCUCUGUGUGGCCGUGGGGAGCGGGCUGAGGGCUCGGUUCGCUCAUGAACGCUGCGCUUAAAUCCCAUAGCUGUGACGGACGCCGCCUCGCCCCUGUGCCGGUUCUGUCGGUGUGCAGUGCGGCUCGCCGCCCGCCGCAGACCUCCACAGACAAGCGCAGCGAUGACGUCAAACCGGGCGGGCGGGGCUUGCCGACUCGUCGGGCCAAUGGCGGCUCGGCGAGCGUCCGCGCACGUGGACCGAGCCGCAGUUGUGAAUCGGGGAAGGGAGGAGAUGAUCCCGGGCUGAGAUCUGUAAUGUCAUGUCCUCGGUGAGCAGAGACUGGGAUGAAAGACUGAGUCCAAGCCCGAGGACUUAGGAUAAAUACCUGUUCUGGUCCCAGUAGGCCCAGCUCGAUCCACUGUCCUGGUGGGAGGAGUGGGUUUUGGGUUCGAAACCCACUCGUCCUAAUUCUGGAGGUAUGUUAUGCCUUUACAUGUCUGAAUGAAAACAUUCCCUCCUAUGA